rnacentral:rRNA from 1 species
GACGAACGCUGGCGGCGUGCUUAACACAUGCAAGUCGAGCGGAAAGGCACUGCGUUCUUGGGGUGCUCGAGUGGCGAACGGGUGCGUAACACGUGAGUAACCUGCCCUUGACUUUGGGAUAACUUCAGGAAACUGGGGCUACUCUCGGAUAGGAUCUCCUGCUGCAUGGAGGGGGUUGGAACGUCUCGGCGGUAGGGGAUGGACUGGCGGCUUACCAGCUUGUUGGUGGGGGAGGGGCAUACCGAGGCUUUGGCGGGUAGCCGGCCUGUGAGGGUGGCCGGCCACAAUGGGACUGAGAGACGGAGCAGAGUGGAACGGGAGGCAACAGGGGGGAGUAUUGCACAGUGGGCGGAAGUGGGAGGCAGCGGCGCCGCGGUCGGAAAGACGGCCUGUGGGGUGUGAACAGCAGUCGCCUGUUACGAAGCGGUAGUGACGGUAAUGGAUAAAGAAGCACCGGCUAACUACGUG